rnacentral:rRNA from 1 species
CCUUGUACACACCGCCCGUCACACCAUGGGAGUCGUUUGCUCCAGAAAUCCCUACGCCAACCGCAAGGAGGCAGGGGCUCAAGGAGUGAACGGUAACUGGGGUG